rnacentral:lncRNA from 1 species
CUUUUCAAAGCUUCGUUAGCAACCUUGGGUGAGUGGACGACGAAACUGGACGAUUCUGUGAUAUCAAUAUACCUUUAUUGGAUGUAUUUGAAAUGCGUGUCUAACAAUUAAAUUGCGAAUCAUUAGAUCCUUCUGCAAUAAGGACGAACUUAUUCUGGAUAAAUCUAUUAAGCUGAG